rnacentral:lncRNA from 10 species
UUGGGAUGACCGUGAAACUGGAAUUAUAUCUGUGGUUUAGACGGUAGUAUCACAGCAAAGUUAAUGUCCUGAGCUUGACAGUUACCUUGUGGUUUUGUAGAACACUGUCUUUGUUUUUUUAAGGAAAUACAAGAGGAUAAAGAGGCAUCAGAAAAAAAAAUAUACAGAGAUGCGCAAGAAGUUAUAUGAAAUAUUUGCAGUAUAAUACUAAUUGAACCAUCGAAGUGAAGGACGUAUGGGAAUUCUUUGAACUGUUCUGGCAACUUUUCUCUGAAAUUAUUUCAAGAUUAAAAGUAAAGGCCGGGUGUGGUGGCUCAGGCCUGUAAUCCCAGCAUUUUGGGAGGCCAAGGUGGGUGGAUCACCUGAAGUCAGGAGUCUGAGACCAGCCUGGCCAACAUGGUGAAACCUCGUCUCUACUAAAAAUACAAAAUUGGCUGGGCAUGGCGGCACAUGUCUGUAAUUCCAGUUACUUGGGAGGCCGAGGCAGGAGAAUUGCUUGAAGCCGGGAGGUGGAGGUUGCGGUGAGCCAAGAUUGCCCCACUCCAUUCCAGCCUGGGCAACAAGAACGAAACUCAGUUUCAAAGAAAAAAAAAGGAUUAAAAGUUAAAAAAUGUCUUAGGAAAGUUAGAGAAGCUUUCUUCUCAGGGGACAUUUAAAAAUCUAAGCACACUUAAAUAUCUCCUAGAAUGGGGAAAGAAGGGAAAGCCCUGGUUCACCUACAGUGGGGGAUCUAUCAGAUCCUCCAGACAUUAAAUUUAGAUACCAAAUGUUAUACCCUUAAAGGUAAGGCGGGCCGGGCGUAAGUAAUCCUCUCACUUCAGCCUCCCAAGUAGUUGGGACUACAGGCAUGUGCAACCAUGCCUGGCUAAUUUUUUUAUUUUUUGUACCAAUGGGGUCUCACUAUGUUUCCCAGGCUGAUCUCAAACUCCUAAGCUUAAGCGAUCCUCCUGCCUCUGACUCCCAAAGUGCUGGGAUUGCAGGGGUGAAACAUGUGCCUGGCUUCUCCAAGUAUUUUCUAAUUUCCCUUGUGACUUAUUUGAUCCAUUGGUUCUUAUUAAACAAUACACUCAAAUUGUUUAAUUUCUACAAAUUUGUAAUUUUUCUAGUUUUUCUUCUAUUAUUUCUUUCUAACUUCAUACUUUGUGGUCAGAGAAGACACUUGAUAUGAUAGCUAUCAUUUUAAAUCUAUUGAAACUUAAGUUUUAGCCUAACCUAUGAUCUAUCCUGAAUAAUAUCCCAUGUGCACCUGAGGAGAAUGUGUAUUUCAUUGUCAUUGUGUAGAGUGUUUGGAACGUAUGUUAGAUCUAGUUGGUUUAUUAUGUUGUUCAAGUCCUCUAUUCUUCUCUCUAGUUCUAUUCAUUACUGCAAGUGGAAAAUUGAAGACUUUAUCAUUCUAGAAGUGUUUCUCCCUUCAACUCUGUCAAUUUUUGCUUCAUAUAUUUUGAUGAUUUGUUAUUAGGUAACUAAAUGUUCAUAAUUGUUAUAUCUUUUGCUAUAUUAAGUGUUUUAUUA